rnacentral:rRNA from 1 species
CGAUCAGUAGCCGGCUGAGAGGGUGGACGGCCACAUUGGGACUGAGACACGGCCCAAACUCCUACGGAAGGCAGCAG